CAUAAAUUCCCAAUGGGGGGCUUUUAAACACUACUAUACUCUCCUAAUAAAGAUUGUGCUGUCUUAAAGGUAAUGAAGGGUGAACAGGUAUUCAUCGACAUCAAAGGAGAGAUAUGAAGCCUACAUCAUACAACCUUACAAUUUUGAGAAUUGUUAUUGAAUAAUUAGAGUUUCUGUUCUUGGCAACACCAUAAUGCCUCAUGACACCUGAGUCCAAAGUUUGCAUUUUCCAUUUCAGGCAACUUUACUUGUUCUAUAACUGAUACCUUACUGUUUGUAAUGGCAGACAAAUCUCAAGACAUGUAUGAAACUUCCAGAAAACUAUUGUCUCUCUUGCCUGUAAAGGGCAGCCUGAAAGAAUGACCCUGCGAAAGGCUUCCAGCUAUUACGGGGCAUGUAAUUCUCUUCAUCUAGAAGACCAAACUAUCUCCUUUUUGUGAGCACUGGAAAUAGUCAGUCAACGUGACAGCCUCCUCGUUCAUCCCAGAAGUAAUUGUAUCAACUUAACAUAAUGGCCUGGGAGGUGGGGGCCAUGGGAGAGUAAUAGGAUUUAAACUCCAAUUCUUCUCAGCAGCUGGCUAGGAUUAGCAAAUAGAGAUAAAUAGAAGCCCUUUGCUAUUUUUAUAAAUCACAACUUUGAUAAAGGUUUAGAUUUGAAACAUCUGAAAUUUCUCCAGAGAUGGCAUAUAAAAACUAUUAGUAGAAAGGUACAGAAAACCUAGAUUUGGUGAAGAA
rnacentral:lncRNA from 1 species